UUUGAUUCAUAUAUUUACAUAUUUGGCCCCAACAUAGCGGGCUCCAAUACGAUAUAUCAAUCCACCUUUCCCCACCUUCUACUUUCACUACUACUCAUUCACUCUUCUCGUACACACACACACUUUGUAGUCCCAAAAUGGCGCUCAUGCGAAGACCUUCCUUCUCUUCCCGUCGUUCAUCUACAGACCUUGCGUUAGUUUAUAACCGACAGUCAAAGUUAUGAGCUGCUGAUAGAUGUGAAUAUGAAUGUCUUUGUUAUUUUUAACACAGACUUCAAUAAAUUUAUUAAAGUAGUAGAACAGCUCACUGGGAUAGACGUAUGAUGUGUGCGUGAGUGUAGUACUCGGGUUCAGAAUUGCAGCACAGCCUUGAUAACUUAACAACUUAAUUAACCGUCGGUUGGCUUAACCGUGAUUGGUGAAAUUGACCCUGAAUGAGCAUGACCCUGUUGUUUCAAAACUUGUCGAGAAAAAAGUACAUUCUUUUUUUUGUCCAUAUGGAUAUUAGUUACGAACCACGUGACUUGCUUUUAAAUUACGCGGCAGAUGAUUAUUUUGGCGCGCUCGCACGCAAUUGGUCAGUCCUUACUAGCCGUUUCUGUUCAAAUUCGUAAUCCGGCGUUGCGUGAUUCUCCCUUCGAUUUUCCGACUAACAGCUCCGAUCCGAACUGUUCUGCAACAUGACAGAAACGCAGCAAAGGGCUAAGUGCAUUACUCUGAAAGGUUCCGCCGAGUUGGUCACGCAAUACCUACUUUACGGAGUCAACAGUAUACUCUAUCAAAGAGGGAUAUAUCCGCCGGAGACAUUCCAACCUUCCGAGCAUUUUGGUUUAUUUAUUUUCACGUCCACGGACGAGAAGAUUACGACCUUCUUGAACACCGUCCUGGGUCAGAUCCAAGAGUGGCUCGUCCAGCGCAAAGUGCGUAAAAUUACCCUUGUCAUAACGAACGUCAAUACGAAAGAGGUGUUGGAGAAGUGGGACUUUAAGGUCGAUUAUGAGGACAAGAAAGCAAAUGGAACAACGGAGAGCAUGAGUGUCAGGGGUACGGAGCAGUCCGAUGUAGGGACAAAGGAUGUGAAAACUAUACAGAAGGAGAUACGUGAAGUGAUACGUCAGAUCACAGGCACGGUGAGCUUUUUGCCACUCUUGGAUUGCCUAUGUUCUUUCGACAUACUUACGUACACGGUACCAGACUGUAAUAUUCCCAACCAGUGGGACGAGACUCAGCCAGUUUUUAUUGCAAACAGUCAAGAGAUACCGUUCAAACCUCGUCUAGGCGUCCUUUGAUCUGACGUGCUGUUCGGGAAAUUACUUCCGGUCGUCUAUUUUUCGUCGGGAAAACCACAUCGUCGAUUCCAUGGGGAAGCGGGGUAAGCGGUUUCUUUUGUCAUGUGAUAUUAAAUAGAAUCGUAUACAUGCGGUUGAAUCGACCAUAAAGUGGUGGAUAUUAUGGCUGAUUACUCUCGCCGGAACGAGAGCAUUACCAUGCUGGAAGAACCUUGACCGCAUGUAAAACCGAAGAAUAGUCGAUACAGUUCUGUUAGCGGAGCGGAAAAAGGAGCUUGCCCGUUGCGAAAUGAUCUUGUGCAGAUAAGUAUUGUUAUUUUUUCGUCCAAAAGAAUAUUCUUCAAAAAUAGAAAAACAAUAAUCUUUAUUAAAUAUCAAUAUCAUUUAAAAAUGAACUCCUUAACUCUUUGAGAACCAACAUGCCUGCUUGUACAUUCUUUUAUUUUAUAAACUCGCAUUUUUUUUUCUUAAAACUUUUAGUUUAUGGAGUAAUUUGAUAAUGCUUUAUUCUAAUCUAAGAUCAAAAAUGAAAAGUUUAAAACGGUGGAUACAAUAUAACAUCUCAAAGAAUUAAAUUUUUUUUUACUACUAUAUAAUUAUUUUUAUUAAUCAUUCUUUUUAAUUUCUUCAAGUAGACAUUUUUUAAUCCUCAAUCGAUCGUUACUUGACGAUAUGAUUCCUUGUAACUUUCUUCUCCCUUGCUAUUCUCCUGGAUUCUAUACGUAUUUCAAUAGAGACUAUCUUGAGAUUACGACCCGAGACAUGAAGUCGAAUCUUUUUCUGUGCGUUGUUUAACCCCGAAUAUUUCUGUUCGUUUGCUGCUGAUCCGCGAAAAUGAAAAAAAUCUGUUCCCUCCCUACGAGGAUAGACUUUUCCUUCUUCGCAGUUUGCCUUUUUUUUUUAUGUCAGUCAUAAUCUCACCUCUUCUACGGAACGUGAUAAGUCGGUCCUGAUUUCGCGCGAGUUAGGCACGAUUUCGUCGACCUUCUAUCGGCAACGAAAAAGAAAGAGGAUCUCGACCCGAUAUUGCAUCCGUUCCAUGAAUUCUUCCUCCUUAGACAUAAUCCGUGUUUUUCUGAGCCGAAAAUCCCUGCUGGACAACUCACGCAAUAUAACUCUAUAUUAUAGACAUACGAUAGGAACUGACAGAGAAAGGGGAAGGGCAAAGGAUUUGUCGCUCGUCGUAAUUAAUUAUUUCUGUGAAUAAUUAUCAAAUCGCAAUUACACGGGGAAAUAAUUCUCCCGUGCCUCUCGACGGAAUAAAUGUUACGAGAAACUAGGAGCGGCGACUCUUAAUUACGAGCUAACGUUGUCGAACGUUAGAAUAUCGUUCGAAUGAAUUCGCGGGUACGAGAAAUUCCCUUGCCUCCCUCCCCUCCCACCGUUCGCUGUUCUACAGUAAUCUUGUUAUGCGUCAAUUACAGUUAUGCAGUUCAAUGAAAUCUGAUUAUCUCUCAUUAUUCGUUUCACUAUCGACGCCGCUCUGAAGACUCAUUCAGAAUGUAAGAGCACUUAAGUUUGCGCGCUUAAAACAGAGUACGACUCGGCUGAGUAAUUCUAAUGUCGAUAGUCGCGCCCGUGAAAAUUCGGCCGAUCGAUAGAUAACAUCGCUUGUUGUCAAAUUGCUUCGUGUUAAUCGCUGAGUAUCAAUUAGUUCUAUCAUUUUUAUACUUAUUAUCACGAAGAUUUACGUCUUUUAACACAUCGCACGUCGUCAAAAAUCUCAGACAGAGCAAAAAUAAUGGCACUUAUUAUACUUAAUAAAAAUGUAAAUGUAGCAGAAAAAAAAUCGCCAAAAUAAUCGAAUUAAAUUUAACGAGGAAAAAGAAAGCGAGAGUCAGGGAUGUUGGUGCUUUUAAUUCCUUGAAGGAAUUAACACGAACGGUGUUAAUUAGGUGGCCACUCCUUCCGUCUGAGGCACGGAACGUUCAAGGGAGCUGGUCGAAGCCGCUUUCACGGCUGUCACGUGUCAUCAAAGACAUACCGGACAUACCGGCGUGUAGAAUCAGCGAAUUAAUGACCGUGGCAUGUGGCGGGCGUUAAUUAUCGGGGAGGGCAGCCAGACAAGGUGUCGUCGUCGAUCGUGCGUACAUGUUCGGCGAACGCAUGACGUCUCGCAUGGUUCAAUGCGCGUCGCAUGGUUCACGAACGCACGCACGCACGCACACGCUUACGCAUUCACGCACGCACGCAACGGCGCGUAAACGCGCGUUCCCGCGGGAGACACGGAAACAAUAUGCGUAAUUGCAGAAAGCGCAAAUCGCGCGUGGUUCACGCUAAUUGACGACCUCACGUAAGAGAAAACCCCACGAAACAACGUUGCCGCUUAUCCCAUUCAAUACGCCAUACCUUACACAUUAGUGUAACAGCGUACGUGCCAGGGAACAACUGCUGAAUAUGUAUCACUUCUAUUCUAUAUUAUAUUUUCUAUUUGGUGAAUUGUGUACGUAAAUAAACGUUAGAAAUUAUAGUCUGAUGUUUUAGGUAUUUAUAAUUGCAAUGUAAAAUCUUUCAUCAAUAACAAAUUAAUUUAUAUUCAGUCUUUUCACUUUAUUCUGCAAAAGAUUUAGGAAAUUAGUCGUCUAAAUCGUAUUGUGUUUAAAAUAACGAAUUUAUCAAUUAGAAAUAUGAGAAAUCAUUAACUAAUAUAUUUUACCAAAAAGAAUCCAAUAUUUAAUAAUUAAUAAAUAGCACCAGUAAAAUAAUAAGGAAAUAAAUAGUAUUGAAAUGAAACUGACUUGAUUUACUUUUGCAAUUGACAUUUUUAUUUAAUUAGUUCACUCUUUAUAUUAUCACUUGUCAGUUUUACAUUGAUACAAUUUACUGUAAUAAAGUCUGUGAUAACAAAAAUAAAUUUAAUCUAUAUAAUAAUUGCAAAUAUGUAUGCAAUAAAUGUAAAAUAUUUUAUAAUAAACCUUUUUAAAUAAAAAUAUAAAAGUAUAAAUUGCAUGAUUACAUUAUUCUCAACUAUAUAAAUUGGUGAAAAAUUAACAUCAGUUGUAUCUGAUUUUUUUAAGUAUUGUUAGCACGCCAAACAAUGUAAAAUAUUUUAUAUUACUCAUUUCACAUUUAUUUCAUAUUGUGUCAUUAAAUACUGCUUAUAAGUAUAAAAUAAAAAUAUAAAAUAUUGAUGACGUAUAAUUAGGCGACCAAUAGUAAAUCUCUCCUGUUUGACUUUUAACUUGGAGCAAAACUGAUUAAAUCUUUUGCAAUUCACACGCACAAUUUUGAUAAAACAUCAACGUGUUCUGUAGAUGUCCAAUGAAACGGAGGCGUAAUCGAAAAAGAAAAGUAGCGAAAGAAAUUGGACUUUGUCUUACAAACUUACUUAACAAUUACGUGUAAAUAAUUACGCGUAGGGCAAGUUUAAUUUCCUUACAGCGGAAUACGCGUUUUUUAUUUGCAUUACCAAGGUCCGUGUAGUGCGCGAUUUUGCAGACAGUUACUGAAUACCCGCGCUUCGGUGCCAAGCAGCUCCGAUUUACAUAGUCGCGCAUAUGUGCACACCCGUGUGUGUACGUGCCUAUGUAGGGAUACGUGCCUGCGAGUCUGCUGCACUCACACACAAAUAAACACUUACGUACGACGCGGCGGUAACCCCGACAUCCGGUUGAUUGACGCGCGCGUGCGAGGGUGGGUUUAGACGUCGUCGCUUUGCUUUGCAGCCGGUAUGCCGGCGCGUGUUACGCGCGGCAUGUAAAUUGUUCUUCGUGACUGUCGGGGUUGAAGCCACUUCGGUCGUUCUAACGAAGUUUCGGAGCCAUUGACUAAGUAGGAGCAGCGAUAUUUGCGCGUAACUCGUUCGGAUCGCUUUAAAGGGGUGCUUGGGAACGGUGGAAACUCGCUUUUUUUUCUUCAAACAGGAUCGCAAACGAAGCGUAACUCGAAAAUAGCGUGAAGCAGACAGAUAUCUCUUUGUUUCUUGCGAAUAGUAGAGCUAAGAGUUAUUCUGGUCUACAGCGUGAAAAAAUGUUUAUCUAUUUUUGAAUAUUUUUUAAAAAGGAACAGUCGUACAUAUAUUUCUCUACGCUUUUACAACAUUUACCUGUAUAGUACAUAUUUAAUAAAUAUCUACAAAUUUUUUAUAUGGCUAAAUAUUUAUUAGUUUUACAUGCUACACAAGUUUAAAAACAAACAGACUUUGCAUAUAUGUAAAAUAAAUAUCUAUAUGAUAUGGACGAGAAUAAAUAAAAAAUACUACGAAUUAUUAAAAUGGUGCGGUUUCAGAAAACAAACAUCGAUUUCUUUCAUAAUCAAUUUAAUUUAAAUAAGUAUAAAAAAAUAAUUAAUUUAUGGAUGUCGCAAUAAUCCUAAUUGCGAUAAAUCGACAUAUAGCUUCUGAGAAAUUAUUCCAGCCAACUUGAAAAAUUGCAUACGUUUUUAAAUUUAAGUAACAUAAAAACUAAUAAACGUUUAGCCAUAUCAAAAUUGUAGAUAUAUACUAAAUAUCAAAUCGAUAUGUAAUGCAUAGAACAUGUCUAACAGUUUUUUUUAAUUCAUAAAAGGUAUUUCUUACGUUGUAGACUAGAAUCCCAUUAAAGCACAUACGACACAUAAAAUAGUUUUUUUUGUGAUAUAUAUUUUAUCUCCUAUAGAAUAAGAAAAGUAAUUAGAAAGUAGAGCCUCUGGAAAAUCUAACCGGAACAUCAUAUUUUAGAUUAAAAUUCAUUCUAAAUGUAUCCCAAAAUUUAUUCUCUCGUACCUUCUAUAUUUAAGAUAAAAUAGAUGUAUUCAAAUUUAGGAAAGAGUAAAAGAAAGAAAGAAAGAGAAAGGGAAAGAGAGAAAGAAAAAAAGAAUAGAUUUAAGAAUAUUAGGACAGCAUUUUCCAACAGCUGAAUCGCGCACGGGAUAUCCGGUUAUUUCGGUUAAAAUCCGCAAAACACCUUAGUAACUCCGCUCGUCGACACGAAGCAGCACAGAAGUGAAGCAGGCCGCGUUAUAAUUUAUUGAAACAGAGCCGUAUUUCGAAUCGUCGACUACAAUUAUUCCGAGGACCGCGGUCGCGCAGUUUACCUUGGCGAGUUUAACAUAACACGCCGGUAACGCGCUCGGUGUGAUGCAUUCGAAUUGGUCAGCGUGGCGCGCGGUUUAUUGACCCAUCGAGUUAAGUGCUCGGCCUGAUUAGCGGAAGUUUCCAAUACCGUAUCUAGAUUUGGCCCGCCACUAAUAAGAGCGAGCCCAGCGGCCAGGAGGGAACAGGGUAACCGCGCGCACACGCGAGACCACCGGAUAAUAAGUUGCGAACGUGUUAAUUAACCUCCCAUCCUCCGAUUAAUUUGCUCUAGUCGAUUAACACAUUCCCGACCGCUCUUUCCAGCCCCUUUCGCUCUCUCCUCCCUUUGUGUGAUCUUUUGGUCCAAAUAUUUAACGCGGAACUGUUUGCCACGGACACGCGGCCACGUGCUAAUUAACAAAACAGUGAAUAAUCGCGCGCCAAUUUCAUCAGGAUUUCACGAAGCGACCGACGCGUCGUGAUGUUUGAUCCGGCUAAACGGAUCACUUAUUUGUGACUUUUAUCUUUCACAACGCAGUUUAAUGCUUGCUUGAACUAGAAAAUAAGACGUGUUAAGAGCGAAAAAGAAAACUCUGUUAAAAAUUAGUAUCUUCAACUUUAACCUUUAUUAUCAGCAUACCAAUAAAAUACUGUGUUUAUUAUGAUCAUUCUCAUUUAUCGUCGGCAUUCUUCUUUCUCAAGUAUUUGCGAGAUUUUAUGUCGAGUAAACGCGUCACUGCGCGAUCUCCUUUUCGGCAUCGGCGGAUUUCAAGCGAUUUACUUUGCCCGAGAGGGGCGAUGAACUAGAACUACACUCUAAAAUCUCACGAUCUACAUGCGUGGAGAGUGUUCGCGAGAAAAUGACGCGGGGGGCAUGGCGCGUCACCAGUGAUUCUGCCGGCGUUCGAAUGGGUUUCGCCGUAAUUUGAAUAAUUGUCAAAUGCCGCGUGGUGCCGCCGGAUUGCUCGGCGGCAACCUUGGUUGCGCCUUCUUCGGGUGCCACCUAAUCUCUCGUCUGUGUUCUCUCUCUCUCUCUCUCUCUCUCGUUCUUCUCCCGACGUGUUCCUCUCUCCCACCAUUUCAAAAUCAAUUUGUCUUUCGUGCUGGCGCGCUCACACAGCACGACGGCGCCUCUCUAUUCCCUUCAAUUUGGCUUGUAAAUGUCGUCUGAAUAUAUUUCGACGCCCCACGAAAGCUUCCCCCUUCCCCUCCCCCUCUCUCCGUCCGUCCGCGCUGUUCCCUGUAACCAUUUCUCUAAGCGAUAGGAUAAGGGGGAGACGAAGCCGCAACUUCGAAGCUCGGAGGAGAGCACGCGGGAUGUAUUUCUAUGUAUCGGCGAAAGAGAGAGAGAGAGAGAGAGAGAGAGAGAGAGAGAGAGAAAGAGAGAGAGAGAGAGAGAGAGAGAGAGAGAGAGAGAGAGAGAGAGAGAGAGAGAGAGAGAGAGACGCCAGGGCGUUACUAUCCCACGGGAUUUCAAUCUCGGCGAGUGAGCGAGCGCGAGCGAACGAGAUCCUGAUGUAGAGCGCGUCUUCGGAUUCUUCCGAAGGAUCGCCCUAGGGUCGGUACGGGCCAACCACUUCCGCCGCACGUAGCUUCCCUUAUCGAAGGAGCGGAAGCUACCUCGCCGAGGAAAUUCAAAGCUCCGAGGAAGUUGGAUAUAUAUUGUAAUGAAAAAGAUACGGGAAAUUUGGAUCGCGAAUACUCGGAUACGUGUGAGAACUUGAACAACAAAAUGUCAAAACUUUUCUUUCUUCUUCUUCUUAAGUGUUACUUUCUACAAAUUAUGAGGUUUAUAAAACGAUAAACGUGAAUAUGAAAGUAAGUUGAGAGAGGAUUAUCAUAAAUGUAGCACGCGCAAAAUUUCAAGAGUUCAAAAACACGCGUAAAUUUAAAUAAAUAUUAAUUAAUUAAAAAA